UAUGUGAUCGUCUCUCGCAUAUCAAUAAGCGGAGGAAAAGAAACUAACAAGGAUUCCCCUAGUAACGGCGAGUGAAGCGGGAAGAGCUCAAAUUUGAAAUCUUAAAGGGUUUCCCUUUACGAAUUGUAGUUUAAAGAAGUGUUUUCUGUUGAAGGUUUUGGUAAAAGUUCUUUGGAAUAGGACAUCAUAGAGGGUGAGAAUCCCGUAUUUGACCUUUACCUUCAACUUUGUGAUACACUUUCAAAGAGUCGGAUUGUUUGGGAAUGCAGUCCAAAAUGGGUGGUAAAUUUCAUCUAAAGCUAAAUAUUGGCGAGAGACCGAUAGCGAACAAGUACCGUGAGGGAAAGAUGAAAAGAACUUUGAAAAGAGAGUUAAACAGUACGUGAAAUUGUCAAAAGGGAAGCGUUUGACACCAGUGUUGUUUUUCUGAAAAUCAAUUAAAGAACUGUUUAUGCUAAGUUGUUUAGACUUUAUCAGCUAACUGUUUAGUUUUGAGCUUUUCUUUAAUGCACUUUUCAGUUAACAAGUCAACAUCAAUUUCUUUUGCUGUAAAAAAGCUUGAGGAAGGUGGCUUGAGAUUCGUCUUAAGUGUUUAUAGCCUCUUGCCUAUGCAGUCGGAGAGAUUGAGGUCUGCAGCGUAGAUCCUUCGGGGCUAAAUGCAUUUGUGCUAAGUUAUAGCAUUUUAUAGACAACUUGUUGACUAUGAUUUGUCUUGUAGCUUACUCGCUUAUGUUAUUUUACCUACGCUUAGGAUGUUGAAGUCAUCGUAUCGCGC
rnacentral:rRNA from 1 species